rnacentral:tmRNA from 1 species
GGGGGUGUAAUAGAUUCGACGGGUAUCUGUUGCCGCCCGGGAGCAAGUGCCGGUUGGCCAGGCCGGCUAAAAUAGGGCCAAAAAAAUAACUAACGACAAUCAAGUCGCUUGGGCUAACGCUUAGUCCCACCGUGCCUUUGGUGUCUUCCAUACGCUAAGGGAUCACGGUUAUUAUAUGGAAUGCGGCAAAGCGGGCGCGGUUCGUCCGGCUUUGCCUAAGACCCACGAACCAAACCGCAGGCGUGCCGCUUCGCGCUUAGCCGGCGGUUACAAAAGCGAAGCUAAACUUGUAGCGCCCGGUUGGAGAAGAUGUUCGGACGGGGGUGCGAAUCCCCCCACCUCCACUG